rnacentral:rRNA from 1 species
UGUCUCCUCGCGGAGGAGCUCGGUGACAGGUGCUGCAUGGCUGUCGUCAGCUCGUGUUGUGAGAUGUUCGGUUAAGUCCGGCAACGAGCGCAACCCCUGUCGUUAGUUGCCAUCAAUUCGGUUGGGCACUCUAGCGAGACUGCCGGUGACAAACCGGAGGAAGGUGGGGAUGACGUCAAGUCCUCAUGGCCUUUAUGGUCGGGGCUACACACGUACUACAAUGGUGACUACAGAGGGCAGCGAGACCGCGAGGUGGAGCAAAUCCCAAAAAAGUCGCCCCAGUUCGGAUUGGAGUCUGCAACUCGACUCCAUGAAGUUGGAAUCGCUAGUAAUCGCGGAUCAGCAUGCCGCGGUGAAUACGUUCCCGGGCCUUGUACACACCGCCCCUCACACCACGAGAGUGA